rnacentral:rRNA from 1 species
GCUAAGCAUAUCAAUAAGCGGAGGAAAAGAAACCAACAGGGAUUGCCCCAGUAACGGCGAGUGAAGCGGCAACAGCUCAAAUUUGAAAUCUGGCCCCCCGGGUCCGAGUUGUAAUUUGCAGAGGAUGCUUCGGGUGCGGCGUCGACCAAGUCCCCUGGAACGGGGCGCCAUAGAGGGUGAGAGCCCCGUCGGGUCGGCCGCCAAGCCUGUGUGAAGCUCCUUCGACGAGUCGAGUAGUUUGGGAAUGCUGCUCUAAACGGGAGGUAGACCCCUUCUAAAGCUAAAUAUUGGCCAGAGACCGAUAGCGCACAAGUAGAGUGAUCGAAAGAUGAAAAGCACUUUGAAAAGAGGGUUAAACAGUACGUGAAAUUGUUGAAAGGGAAGCGCUUGUGACCAGACGUGCGCCGGGUGUUCAGCGGGCGUUCUCGCCCGUGUACUCGCCCCGGCGCAGGCCAGCGUCGGUUCGGAUGGGGGGACAAAGGCCCCGGGAAUGUGGCUCCUCCGGGAGUGUUAUAGCCCGGGGCGUCAUGCCCCCGCCCGGACCGAGGUUCGCGCUCUGCAAGGACGCUGGCGUAAUGGUCCCCAGCGGCCCGUCUUGAAACACGGACCAAGGAGUCGAGGUUUUGCGCGAGUGUUUGGGUGUCAAACCCGCACGCGUAAUGAAAGUGAACGCAGGUGGGAGCUUCGGCGCACCACCGACCGAUCCUGAUGUUCUCGGAUGGAUUUGAGUAGGAGCGUAGGGCCUCGGACCCGAAAGAUGGUGAACUAUACGUGGAUAGGGUGAAGCCAGAGGAAACUCUGGUGGAGGCUCGCAGCGGUUCUGACGUGCAAAUCGAUCGUCAAAUCUGCGUAUGGGGGCGAAAGACUAAUCGACCAUUUUAGGGGU